rnacentral:rRNA from 1 species
AUUGAACGCUGGCGGCAGGCUUAACACAUGCAAGUCGAGCGGGGUGAUGGUGCUUGCACUAUCACUUAGCGGCGGACGGGUGAGUAAUGCUUAGGAAUCUGCCUAUUAGUGGGGGACAACAUCUCGAAAGGGAUGCUAAUACCGCAUACGUCCUACGGGAGAAAGCAGGGGAUCACUUGUGACCUUGCGCUAAUAGAUGAGCCUAAGUCGGAUUAGCUAGUUGGUGGGGUAAAGGCCUACCAAGGCGACGAUCUGUAGCGGGUCUGAGAGGAUGAGCCGCCACACUGGGAAUGAGACACGGCCCAGGCUCCUACGGGAGGCAGCAGUGGUGAAUAUUGGACAAUGGGGGGAACCCUGAUCCAGCCAUGCCGCGUGUGUGAAGAAGGCCUUAUGGUUGUAAAGCACUUUAAGCGAGGAGGAGGCUCUUUUGGUUAAUACCCAAGAUGAGUGGACGUUACUCGCAGAAUAAGCACCGGCUAACUCUGUGCCAGCCGCCGCCGUAA